rnacentral:rRNA from 1 species
UACGUAGGGUGCAAGCGUUAAUCGGAAUUACUGGGCGUAAAGCGUGCGCAGGCGGUUUUGUAAGUCUGUCUUGAAAUCCCCGGGCUUAACCUGGGAAUGGCGAUGGAGACUGCAAGGCUAGAGUUUGGCAGAGGGGGGUAGAAUUCCACGUGUAGCAGUGAAAUGCGUAGAGAUGUGGAGGAACACCGAUGGCGAAGGCAGCCCCCUGGGUCAAAACUGACGCUCAUGCACGAAAGCGUGGGGAGCAAACAGG